ensembl:lncRNA
CUAGUCAGAGGUUCUUUGGGUUUUUCUAAAAUAAGGGAGAUCUGUUUAUAUCAGAGAUGGGUGUGGAGUGAUGGGAGUGAACGCACCUGGAGGCUGACGUGAGAUGAUGAUAGCGAAGGAGGCACAAAUCCGUUAAUAACGAUGUCGAGGAGCAAAACUCCCUCAGAAUCCAGACCUCGAGCAACGUGGGUCACGCGGAGGAUCUCUCCUGUUGUGGAAACGAGAGAUGAGAAUCGAGAGAACGCUGGAAGAGUCUGUGUGGGCGAAUGGCGCCCCCUGUCGACUCAACUAUGAACUACAUCCCGUUUACAAAGGGAGGCGCUGACUUUGUUUAGCGUCUUUGAAUAUCAAUGACAAAUCCAAAUGUCUUGUAAUGUACAGCGUUGAUAGAAAAAGAUUCACAGUUGUGAAUCUGAAGACAUAGUUAAGAUUAAUUAGUUUAUUCUUAAAACUAUGCACUUGUUGUUGCAUGUGCACCAAAUCAACAUACUGUACUCCGAAGGAAGUAUAACGACUUAUUUGUUCAACAGUGCGUCCGCAUCCACUCUCACCUGUGUCAAACUCCAGCUGGGAUUCCUGUCUGAAGUGGCCGUGAGUGAAGGAGUAACCAUUUUUGGCUGCUCCCCUCUGCAGCACAGUGGUCCAGUAGAUGGGAGCAAAAACAGACACCAGCACCCUCAUCAGGGGGCCUGCAAGGAAACAGAACCAGAACUGACCUCAGCACGGAGUCAGCAGAGAGGAGACGUGUACGAGAAGAGAGGAGCAGAGGGUGUCCGUUCUUCAGCCAACUGAUCUGAGGAGGAGGGCUUCCCACCGCCUGACACUCCAGCGUCACAGCACCGUCCUGGGUCACCUGGACCUCUCUGGGCACUGUGGUCUCACCAGAGAUGGAUGGAGGAACUGGGACAAAACCAAUCAGAAGUAAAUGAGCAAUAAACAAGAUUCACAAAGGAUACUUAGCAAAACAUUCCUCCCGACCUAAAACAAACAGGGUGUAGAUUUUGGUCUGCCGGCCAGCCGGGCUCACAGCUAAACACGUGUACGUCCCGGAAUCAUCAGGGCUGAGCCUCAGCAGUGUCAGGGUGCUGCCUUCAGGGGUCACACUGCACAUGAUGAGAUCAGACAAAAGCAUCUCCAGUAAAUGGCUCGACGCCAGACAUAGAUGUGUAAACACUUAGUAGGAGUUAGGUAUGGAAUAUUUACCCGAUAUGACGACUGUCUGAUCCUUCUACCGUCACACCAUCCUUUAACCAGCUCAGGUGCGGUGUGGGGUUUCCAGCUGCUCGGCAUUCGAGGGUCAUGUCCUCUCCCAUGGGUGCACUCACCUCAGAGGGGUGUUCAGAGUCCAGGAUUGUAGGUGACACUUUGGAAGACAAAACAUACCUCUAAAUAUCCCUCUUUUUAGUGCUUUAAAUCAUGUUUAAGGCAUAAGCUUAGUUUAAACAUCUAAAUACCUUGUACUGUGAGUGCGUAGUCUUUUUGGGCUUGUCCCUCACUGUUCUUGGCCACACAGGUGUAAAGCCCACCAUGAGCCAGAGCGAGGGGCCCCAGCUCCAGCCUGCUCCCGCGGAUGGACCACUGCCACUGCAGGCUGCUCUCUGGGGGGGAAACCUUCAAUUUGACUCGCCCUCCAAAAUGCAGUGAAGAACUCGCAAUCAAAAUAAAUCAGUAAAUCAAAUAAAUGCUGUCAAAACUGACCAAUAGGAGUUCCGUCUUUCAGCCAGGUGAUACUCGGCACAGGGAACCCUGAGGCCUGGCAUGGCAGGGACACGUGUGAACCAAGGGUGUAGUUUAAGGACUCCCAGAGUGACCCUUCCAGGACUGGUGGAACUGUAGAUAUGUGUAGAUAUCAGGGUGUGAAAUGCUGAGCAUGUCAUUGAACAAGAAUACAUUCUGAGGAGAAAUGACAACAGGGCUGCUUUCGUACCAUGAACCGUCAGUCUGAAUGUCCUGUCUACCUGUCCAGCAACAUUGGAGACUUUACAAGUGUAGGUUCCACCAUCCGCCACCUGAGAGCCAAAAAUAAACUCACCGCAUUGACAAUUUAAUCGAGAGUCAGAAAUCUGACAGCAUUCCAACAGUCUGAACCAUUAAAUUUAAUCCAAUUCAGUUACCCUUCAAGGCCUUCCAGGCAGC